rnacentral:tRNA from 1 species
GGAUACAGCUCAGUGGUAGAGUGCGUGCUUGGCGUGCACAGGGUCCUGGGUUCAAUCCCUGGUACCUCCG